GGGUCAUGUGUAUCCCUUGCUGGCCUGGAACUCUAUGUAGAAGAGGAUGCUGGGACCACGGGCAUGCCCCACUGUGCCUGAUUUAUGUGGUACUGUGGAUCACACCCAGAGCUUCAUUGAUGAUACAGGAGUUUUUGGACCAUGCCUGCCUGGCCAGCAGGGAACAGGAAACCCUGAGGUGACGAAAAAGACUUUCUGUGGUGGAACAUUGCAUAGGAAGUGCCCCCAGAGCAAGCCUGAUCAUGAGUCACAACAGCAAUAGCAGGCAUUGUGCUAAGGGACAAUAAAUAGUCUUAGCUCAUGUG
ensembl:lincRNA Gm20461 predicted gene 20461